rnacentral:rRNA from 1 species
UCAGGAUGAACGCUGGCGGCGUGCCUAAUACAUGCAAGUCGAACGCACAGCGAAAGGUGCUUGCACCUUUCAAGUGAGUGGCGAACGGGUGAGUAACACGUGGACAACCUGCCUCAAGGCUGGGGAUAACAUUUGGAAACAGAUGCUAAUACCGAAUGAAACUUAGUGUCGCAUGAUACGAAGUUAAAAGGCGCUUUGGCGUCACCUAGAGAUGGAUCCGCGGUGCAUUAGUUAGUUGGUGGGGUAAAGGCCUACCAAGACAAUGAUGCAUAGCCGAGUUGAGAGACUGAUCGGCCACAUUGGGACUGAGACACGGCCCAAACUCCUACGGGAGGCUGCAGUAGGGAAUCUUCCACAAUGGGCGAAAGCCUGAUGGAGCAACGCCGCGUGUGUGAUGAAGGCUUUCGGGUCGUAAAGCACUGUUGUAUGGGAAGAACAGCUAGAAUAGGGAAUGAUUUUAGUUUGACGGUACCAUACCAGAAAGGGACGGCUAAAUACGUGCCAGCAGCCGCGGUAAUACGUAUGUCCCGAGCGUUAUCCGGAUUUAUUGGGCGUAAAGCGAGCGCAGACGGUUGAUUAAGUCUGAUGUGAAAGCCCGGAGCUCAACUCCGGAAUGGCAUUGGAAACUGGUUAACUUGAGUGCAGUAGAGGUAAGUGGAACUCCAUGUGUAGCGGUGGAAUGCGUAGAUAUAUGGAAGAACACCAGUGGCGAAGGCGGCUUACUGGACUGUAACUGACGUUGAGGCUCGAAAGUGUGGGUAGCAAACAGGAUUAGAUACCCUGGUAGUCCACACCGUAAACGAUGAACACUAGGUGUUAGGAGGUUUCCGCCUCUUAGUGCCGAAGCUAACGCAUUAAGUGUUCCGCCUGGGGAGUACGACCGCAAGGUUGAAACUCAAAGGAAUUGACGGGGACCCGCACAAGCGGUGGAGCAUGUGGUUUAAUUCGAAGCAACGCGAAGAACCUUACCAGGUCUUGACAUCCUUUGAAGCUUUUAGAGAUAGAAGUGUUCUCUUCGGAGACAAAGUGACAGGUGGUGCAUGGUCGUCGUCAGCUCGUGUCGUGAGAUGUUGGGUUAAGUCCCGCAACGAGCGCAACCCUUAUUGUUAGUUGCCAGCAUUCAGAUGGGCACUCUAGCGAGACUGCCGGUGACAAACCGGAGGAAGGCGGGGACGACGUCAGAUCAUCAUGCCCCUUAUGACCUGGGCUACACACGUGCUACAAUGGCGUAUACAACGAGUUGCCAACCCGCGAGGGUGAGCUAAUCUCUUAAAGUACGUCUCAGUUCGGAUUGUAGUCUGCAACUCGACUACAUGAAGUCGGAAUCGCUAGUAAUCGCGGAUCAGCACGCCGCGGUGAAUACGUUCCCGGGUCUUGUACACACCGCCCGUCACACCAUGGGAGUUUGUAAUGCCCAAAGCCGGUGGCCUAACCUUUUAGGAAGGAGCCGUCUAAGGCAGGACAGAUGACUGGGGUGAAGUCGU